AGUGAACGCUGGCGGUAGGCCUAACACAUGCAAGUCGAACGGCAGCACAGUAAGAGCUUGCUCUUACGGGUGGCGAGUGGCGGACGGGUGAGGAAUACAUCGGAAUCUACUUUUUCGUGGGGGAUAACGAAGGGAAACUUACGCUAAUACCGCAUACGACCUACGGGUGAAAGCAGGGGAUCUUCGGACCUUGCGCGAUUGAAUGAGCCGAUGUCGGAUUAGCUAGUUGGCGGGGUAAAGGCCCACCAAGGCGACGAUCCGUAGCUGGUCUGGGGGGAUGUUCAGCCACACUGGAGCUGAGACACGGCCCAGACUCCGACGGGAGGCAGCAGUGGGGAAUAUUGGCCAAUGGGCGCAAGCCUGAUCCAGCCAUGCCGCGUGGGUGAAGAAGGCCUGCGGGUUGUAAAGCCCUUUUGUUGGGAAAGAAAAGCAGCAGGUUAAAACCCCGCUGUUCUGACGGUACCCAAAGAAUAAGCACCGGCUAACUUCGU
rnacentral:rRNA from 1 species